rnacentral:rRNA from 1 species
UUGGACAAUGGGCGCAAGCCUGAUCCAGCAAUGCCGCGUGAGUGAAGAAGGCCUUAGGGUUGUAAAGCUCUUUCGCCUGCGACGAUGAUGACGGUAGCAGGAGAAGAAGCCCCGGCUAAUUCCGUGCCAGCAGCCGCGGUAAUACGGAAGGGGCUAGCGUUGUUCGGAAUCACUGGGCGUAAAGCGCGCGUAGGCGGCCGGUCAAGUGCGGCGUGAAAGUCCUGGGCUCAACCUGGGGACGGCGCUGCGGACUGCUCGGCUGGAGUCCGGAAGAGGGUGGUGGAAUUCCGAGUGUAGAGGUGAAAUUCGUAGGUAUUCGGAGGAACACCGGUGGCGAAGGCGGCCACCUGGUCCGGUACUGACGCUGAAGCGCAAAAGCGUGGGGAGCAAACAGGAUUAGAUACCCUGGUAGUCCACGCCGUAAACGAUGGGUGCUAGAUGUCGGGGGGCUUGCCCUUCGGUGUCAUAGCCAACGCGUUAAGCACCCCGCCUGGGGAGUACGGCCGCAAGGUUA